rnacentral:rRNA from 1 species
UACGUAGGUGGCGAGCGUUGUCCGGAAUUAUUGGGCGUAAAGCGCGCGCAGGUGGGAUAGUAAGUCUUUUGUAAAAGUGCGGGGCUCAACCCCGUAAUGCGACGGAAACUGCUAUUCUUGAGUGCAGGAGAGGAAAGCGGAAUUCCCAGUGUAGCGGUGAAAUGCGUAGAUAUUGGGAGGAACACCAGUGGCGAAGGCGGCUUUCUGGACUGUGUCUGACACUGAGGCGCGAAAGCCAGGGGAGCGAACGGG